ensembl:misc_RNA
AUGGCAGCUCUGUAAGUCUGAAGACCUCUCUGUAGCCACAGAACAGGAAUGGUAUGGGCAGCAGCAAUACAAGUUUUCCAGCUACUCUUCUGCCAAUAUGCCUUAACACUUCUCGCGGUGAGGGGCUGUUUCAGUGUCCAUAGCUUUCCUGCAGACUGCCAAC